rnacentral:rRNA from 1 species
UUUAUGGAGAGUUUGAUCCUGGCUCAGGACGAACGCUGGCGGCGUGCCUAAUACAUGCAAGUCGAGCGAACAGAGAAGGAGCUUGCUCCUUCGACGUUAGCGGCGGACGGGUGAGUAACACGUGGGCAACCUACCUUAUAGUUUGGGAUAACUCCGGGAAACCGGGGCUAAUACCGAAUAAUCUAUUUUACUUCAUGGUGAAAUACUGAAAGACGGUUUCGGCUGUCGCUAUAAGAUGGGCCCGCGGCGCAUUAGCUAGUUGGUGAGGUAACGGCUCACCAAGGCGACGAUGCGUAGCCGACCUGAGAGGGUGAUCGGCCACACUGGG